rnacentral:rRNA from 1 species
AGUAAAAGUCGUAACAAGGUCUCCGUUGGUGAACCAGCGGAGGGAUCAUUUACUGAGUUAUCUAAACUCCAACCCUAUGUGAACUUACCGCCGUUGCCUCGGCGGGCCGCGUUCGCCCUGUAGUUUACUACCUGGCGGCGCGCUACAGGCCCGCCGGUGGACUGCUAAACUCUGUUAUAUAUACGUAUCUCUGAAUGCUUCAACUUAAUAAGUUAAAACUUUCAACAACGGAUCUCUUGGUUCUGGCAUCGAUGAAGAACGCAGCGAAAUGCGAUAAGUAAUGUGAAUUGCAGAAUUCAGUGAAUCAUCGAAUCUUUGAACGCACAUUGCGCCCAUUAGUAUUCUAGUGGGCAUGCCUGUUCGAGCGUCAUUUCAACCCUUAAGCCCCUGUUGCUUAGCGUUGGGAAUCUAGGUCCCCAGGGCCUAGUUCCCCAAAGUCAUCGGCGGAGUCGGAGCGUACUCUCAGCGUAGUAAUACCAUUCUCGCUUUUGCAGUAGCCCCGGCGGCUUGCCGUAAAACCCCUAUAUCUUUAGUGGUUGACCUCGAAUCAGGUAGGAAUACCCGCUGAACUUAAGCAUAUCAAUAAGCGGAGGAAAAGAAACCAACAGGGAUUGCCCCAGUAACG